rnacentral:rRNA from 1 species
UACGAAGGGGGCUAGCGUUGCUCGGAAUUACUGGGCGUAAAGGGCGCGUAGGCGGCCAGAUUAGUCAGGCGUGAAAGCCCUGGGCUCAACCUGGGAACUGCGCUUGAUACGGUUUGGCUUGAGGACGGAAGAGGCUCGCGGAAUUCCCAGUGUAGAGGUGAAAUUCGUAGAUAUUGGGAAGAACACCGGUGGCGAAGGCGGCGAGCUGGUCCGUACCUGACGCUGAGGCGCGACAGCGUGGGGAGCAAACAGG